rnacentral:rRNA from 1 species
ACACGCAUGACACACUGCAUAUCAAUAAGCGGAGGAAAAGAAACUAACAAGGAUUCCCCUAGUAACGGCGAGUGAAGCGGGAAGAGCUCAAAUUUGAAAUCUUCAAGGGUUUCCCUUGACGAAUUGUAGUUUAAAGAAGUGUUUUCUGUUAGAGAGGUGGUAAAAGUUCUUUGGAAUAGGACAUCAUAGAGGGUGAGAAUCCCGUAUUUGAUCACUUUCUACUAACGUUGUGAUACACUUUCAAAGAGUCGGAUUGUUUGGGAAUGCAGUCCAAAAUGGGUGGUAAAUUUCAUCUAAAGCUAAAUAUUGGCGAGAGACCGAUAGCGAACAAGUACCGUGAGGGAAAGAUGAAAAGAACUUUGAAAAGAGAGUUAAACAGUACGUGAAAUUGUCAAAAGGGAAGCGUUUGACACCAGUGUUGUUUUUCCGAAAAUCAAUUAUGAAUGGCUUGAUUUUAAGUUUCAUGACCUUAAAAGCUUGUUUCUUAUUUUUCAUGUCUUUCGUAAUGCACUUUUCGGUUAACAAGUCAACAUCAAUUUCUUUUGUUGUAAAAGGUUAAGAGGAAGGUGGCUUUACUUUCGGGUAAAGUGUUUAUAGCCUUUUAACUCUGCAAUCGGAGAGAUUGAGGUCUGCAGCGUAGAUCCUUCGGGGCUAGAUACAUUUGAUGCUAAGUUAUAGCUUUUCAUAGACAACUUGUUGACUAUGUUAAGUCAUGUAGCUUACUCGUAGAUGCUAUUUUACCUACGCUUAGGAUGUUGAAGACUCUACAGAGAUA